rnacentral:lncRNA from 1 species
ACCGAGGACAUGACCCUAGAUAGGAAGGUCUGGAAGAUGCGAAUUACGGCAGAGGAUUAGGGCCAGUUCGGGUCGCUAGUGUAGGGAAUUAAUUGGUGGGGGUGUAUUCCUGUUAUGAUUCUGUAUUCAGUGUUUCGUGUUCCGUGUUCCAUGUUUAUUACGAAUCUGGGUGCUUUCCUCUGCUUUAUAUUCCUGCAUUCUUGCUUUACUCUGUUUUAUAUUCCUUAUGGGUGCCGU